AGCAGCCGCGGUAAUUCCAGCUCCAAUAGCGUAUAUUAAAGUUGUUGCAGUUAAAAAGCUCGUAGUUGAAUUUCGGGGUUAGUAGGUUGGUCAUGCCUCUGGUAUGUACUGGUCUCACUGAUUCCUCCUUCCUGAUGAACCUUAAUGCCAUUAAUUUGGUGUUUUGGGGAAUUUGGACUGUUACUUUGAAAAAAUUAGAGUGUUUAAAGCAAGCUAACGCUUGAAUACAUUAGCAUGGAAUAAUGAAAUAGGACGUUCGAUCCUAUUUUGUUGGUUUCUAGGAUUGACGUAAUGAUUAAUAGGGAUAGUUGGGGGCAUUAGUAUUCAAUUGUCAGAGGUGAAAUUCUUGGAUUUAUUGAAGACUAACUACUGCGAAAGCAUUUGCCAAGGAUGUUUUCAUUAAUCAAGAACGAAAGUUAGGGGAUCGAAGACGAUCAGAUACCGUCGUAGUCUUAACCAUAAACUAUGCCGACUAGGGAUCGGAUGAUGUAAUUUUUAAUGACCCAUUCGGCGCCUUACG
rnacentral:rRNA from 1 species